UACGUAGGUGGCAAGCGUUGUCCGGAAUUACUGGGUGUAAAGGGUGCGUAGGCGGGUGUGCAAGUCAUAUGUGAAAGACCGAGGCUUAACUUCGGGGCUGCAUAAGAAACUGCACAUCUUGAGUGAAGGAGAGGUAAGUGGAAUUCCCAGUGUAGCGGUGAAAUGCGUAGAUAUUGGGAGGAACACCAGUGGCGAAGGCGACUUACUGGACUUUAACUGACGCUGAUGCACGAAAGCAUGGGGAGCAAAC
rnacentral:rRNA from 1 species